rnacentral:rRNA from 1 species
CUUGAACGCUGGCGGCAUGCCUAACACAUGCACGUCGAACGAGAGGCGGACGGAUGAGUAAUGUCUGGGAAACUGCCUGAUGGAGGGGGAUAACUAAUGGAAACGGUAGCUAAUACCGCAUACCAUCAGCUGUGACCUGUUGGGAUUAUCUUGUUGGUGGGGUAACGGCUCACCAAGGCGACGAUCCCUAGCUGGUCUGAGAGGAGUACCAGCCAAGCUGGAAUGUGGAACCGGUCCAGCCUCCAACGGGAGGCAGCAGUGGGAAAUAGUGCACAAUGGGCACAAGCCUGAUGCAGCCAUGCCGCGUGUAUGAAGAAGGCCUUCGGGUUGUAAAGGACUUUCAGCGGGGCGGCGUUACCCGCAGAAGAAGCACCGGCUAACUCCGGGCCAGCAGCCGCGGUAAUUC